rnacentral:rRNA from 1 species
CACCGGCAUCCUCUACACAUGCAGUCGAGCGGUAGCACAGAGAGCUUGCUCUCGGGUGACGAGCGGCGGACGGGUGAGUAAUGUCUGGGAAACUGCCUGAUGGAGGGGGAUAACUACUGGAAACGGUAGCUAAUACCGCAUAACGUCGCAAGACCAAAGUGGGGGACCUUCGGGCCUCAUGCCAUCAGAUGUGCCCAGAUGGGAUUAGCUAGUAGGUGGGGUAACGGCUCACCUAGGCGACGAUCCCUAGCUGGUCUGAGAGGAUGACCAGCCACACUGGAACUGAGACACGGUCCAGACUCCUACGGGAGGCAGCAGUGGGGAAUAUUGCACAAUGGGCGCAAGCCUGAUGCAGCCAUGCCGCGUGUGUGAAGAAGGCCUUCGGGUUGUAAAGCACUUUCAGCGGGGAGGAAGGCGUUAAGGUUAAUAACCUUAUCGAUUGACGUUACCCGCAGAAGAAGCACCGGCUAACUCCGUGCCAGCAGCCGCGGUAAUACGGAGGGUGCAAGCGUUAAUCGGAAUUACUGGGCGUAAAGCGCACGCAGGCGGUCUGUCAAGUCGGAUGUGAAAUCCCCGGGCUCAACCUGGGAACUGCAUUCGAAACUGGCAGGCUAGAGUCUUGUAGAGGGGGGUAGAAUUCCAGGUGUAGCGGUGAAAUGCGUAGAGAUCUGGAGGAAUACCGGUGGCGAAGCGGCCCCCUGGACAAAGACUGACGCUCAGUGCGAAAGCGUGGGGAGCAAACAGAUUAGUACCG